ensembl:lncRNA
UUUUUUUUUUUUUUUUUUUUUAAAGAUAGACUCGGUUUAAUUUGCUGGUUAUUAGCUGCUCGGGUUAAUUCUCAGCAUUUUAACUAAGGAGAUCUGGCCUUCAGCACAGAGUCUCCGUGCUGGUAAUUAAUAAGGGGGGGUAAAUAGAGAAAAAAAAUCGAGGAAGAGAGGCAGCGGAGAUAGAAAUGGAGUACGCUGCCUUUAAAAUUUGAAUGAAUUAAAUGAUGACGGUAUGUUAAUUAUAAAGGCACGGAAUUAGACAUGAAGAACAAGACGCUCGAGGAAAAAAAAAAAAAGAGCACAGAAAAUGGCCAUUCCCGACAGCCCCGCCGGGGUCCCUGCGGGACCAUCCCUGCUCUUUCACCCAAGGGUGUGUCCGCUGGAAAAAAAAAACCUUCCCAGGGCGCAGAACUGUGGGGUCCCCCCGGCCCCGACCCCAACCCUCGGGGCGAGCCCGGAGCUGCCCGAAUCCCACCCAAAACUUGAGCCCGAGGCGCGAUAUUGACCCCGAAACUCUUGCCUGCUCCCUUCUAAAUUUCCUAAACCCACCCAGCGUUAUGAUUUGCUGGAGGGAUAUCUACAUACGUGUUUUUAAAUCAUUUAAAGCCUUCCCUAUCCUUUUUUUUUUUUUCCCUCCUCCAGCCUCCAGCCUUUUGUUUUAUCGCGCCAUGGUGUCGGGGAUGCGACGGUUUAUAAAAGGCGGAAUUAUUUGGGGGCCCUUUGAUUUUAUUUUAUUUUUUUUUUUUUAGUUUUAUUCUUCCAGGCGAGGGCUCCGUGUAGAGGCUGGGAAAUAUUGAUCGGGGGGGCGAGCGACAUUUUUGAGCCGUGUAGAGGCCUGCUUUGGAGGCACGUCGCGAACCACAAGUUGUGUAAAUAGGAGACCGCAAAGCCCAGCCUGCUCAGAUGCUCCAAAGCGAGGAGCCGCAGAGCUUUCUGAUGCUCUUCUCCUUACCCCAAGACGGACAGAAAUACACCCACCAGCCUCCCCCCCCUUUCCAAUGCCAAAUUUUAGCACCCAGGGCCAAGCAAUCCCAUGCUCGGGGAAGUCUAGCACAUUUUGUCGCAACAGCUUUUCCUCCCCAAUUUCCCCCUGCGCCUGCACAUUCCCAGCGACAGCACAAUUCUGCAGUCCUACAGCUUCAGCCAGGCAGCAUUCCCGGCGUUAUUCCCGAUUUUCGCGCAGCAGAGGCAGGAGGAUGGAUCCUGCUGCGCCCCCGAGGUGCUGCCCGCGCCAGAUGCGCCCAUUGCCUCGCAAGUUACCACCGGGGCUGGGGGCUGAAGGGUGCCAGGAGGGGCUGGGGCACGAAAUAUCCCCCAGUGCCCCCUCCUCGCCCAUCACAGCACGUCCCAAAUAAAGACAUAGCAGGCAACGCAGUCCUUUUAAAAUCUUUUAUUAUUAUUAUUAUUAUAAUUAUUAUUAUUUACGUAAUGUCUCACGUAUACAAUACAAAUCCACGGUGUCCAGAUUUUUUUUUUUUUUCUGGCUGAAAUUGCUACAUUCAGAGGUUGAACACGCAGAACUAUGCUUUUACAUAAAACAAAUGACGAUUUUUUUUUUGUUUCGAGCAUGUUGCAUUAACAGAUAAGUCAAGACAAAUAGAUAACUAUACAUUCAGUGCAAUUUAGUUCUACACUACUUUAUAAGCACAAUAAAAUAAUACAAUACUGUGCGUUCUCA